GACGAACGCUGGCGGCGUGCUUAACACAUGCAAGUCGAACGAAGUGGCGAACGGGUGAGUAAUACGUGAGUAACCUGCCCUCCUUUUUGGGAUAAGCCUUGGAAACGGGGUCUAAUAACGAAUAAAGGGGGAUGGGCUCGCGGCCGUUCCGCUUGUUGGGGGGGUGAUGGCCUACAAAGGCGGUGACUGGUAGCCGGCCUGAGAGGGUGACCUGCCACGUUGGACAGGAGAUACGGCCCAGAGUCAUACGGGAGGCGGCAGUGGGGGAGAUUGCGCACUGGGCGAACGCCUGAAGCCGCGGCGCCGCGUGGGGGAUGACGGCUUUCGGGUUGUAAACCUCUUUCGCGAUCGAAUCGGUAUGUGGAGAAGAAGCGCCGGCUAACUACGUGCCAGCAGCCGCGGUAAUUC
rnacentral:rRNA from 1 species